rnacentral:rRNA from 1 species
UGCAAGUCGAGCGGUAGCACAGAGAGCUUGCUCUCGGGUGACGAGCGGCGGACGGGUGAGUAAUGUCUGGGAAACUGCCUGAUGGAGGGGGAUAACUACUGGAAACGGUAGCUAAUACCGCAUAAUGUCGCAAGACCAAAGUGGGGGACCUUCGGGCCUCAUGCCAUCAGAUGUGCCCAGAUGGGAUUAGCUAGUAGGUGGGGUAACGGCUCACCUAGGCGACGAUCCCUAGCUGGUCUGAGAGGAUGACCAGCCACACUGGAACUGAGACACGGUCCAGACUCCUACGGGAGGCAGCAGUGGGGAAUAUUGCACAAUGGGCGCAAGCCUGAUGCAGCCAUGCCGCGUGUGUGAAGAAGGCCUUCGGGUUGUAAAGCACUUUCAGCGGGGAGGAAGGCGUUAAGGUUAAUAACCUUGUCGAUUGACGUUACCCGCAGAAGAAGCACCGGCUAACUCCGUGCCAGCAGCCGCGGUAAUACGGAGGGUGCAAGCGUUAAUCGGAAUUACUGGGCGUAAAGCGCACGCAGGCGGUCUGUCAAGUCGGAUGUGAAAUCCCCGGGCUCAACCUGGGAACUGCAUUCGAAACUGGCAGGCUAGAGUCUUGUAGAGGGGGUAGAAUUCCAGGUGUAGCGGUGAAAUGCGU